UACAGAGGGUGCAAGCGUUGUUCGGAAUUAUUGGGCGUAAAGGGCGCGUAGGCGGUGCGGUAAGUCUGUAGUGAAAUCUCUGGGCUCAACUCAGAGUCUGCUGCAGAAACUGCCGUGCUUGAGUGUGGGAGAGGUGAGUGGAAUUCCCGGUGUAGCGGUGAAAUGCGUAGAUAUCUGGAGGAACACCGGUGGCGAAGGCGGCAUCCUGGACCGACACUGACGCUGAGGAGCGAAAGCCAGGGGAGCAAACGGG
rnacentral:rRNA from 1 species